UCAUGAGGUGAAGUGAAGUUACUAUUUAUUUCUGCUUCACGUGUUGCUUUGAAUGAAAGCAUGUUCAAUUGAGAAGUUAGUCUUUCCUAUAUUUGAGAAAUGGAAUUAAGAUGUCUAAAAACCCAUACGAGUACAUUCAUUGAAAGUGACUGGAAUUGUCAUACCAGGAGAAAUUAUAUUCCACCAUAAAUCUGGCGAUAGUUUCAAUGUAUCCUCGAUAGAAAAUGAUUGGUUAACAUUAUCACUUGUGGAGAAAGACAAUUUAAGUGAUGAAAAAGGUCCUGACUUGAAAAAUACCAGCAAGAACUCUGAACCCGAUGAAGAUAUAGUACCUCAGGAACUGAUAAAUCACUAUGUUUCAAUGACUGAUUACUUUAUGAAUAUAGAUAACGGAAUGACUUAUCACUGUGCCGAGUCAUUGCCAGCAGUGGCGUCUACCCUAGGAAGUAAUAACUGACAUUUAUUGAAAAAUAGUACACUCUUCAGCUAGCGACAUGCAGUGUAAAGUUAGGAAAACUGUUGGUACUGAUUUACAUGAACUGGCUCUGUUACUAGGAUCUGAAGCAGCAAGUACGAACCUAAUGCCUUCAUUUGAUGGUUUUAUUAAGGAUUAGGACGAAAUUAGGAUAGGCGUUUUGAAAAAUUUAGCUCAUUCUUUGAAUUUGAUCAAUCCCACCAAAAGGAAUGCUUACCUUCCGAGGUUGGCUAAAUUUUUACAAACUGAUAAUGAUUGGAAUUGGAUUUAGAGAGGAGUUGGCAAAACAAUUAUUGAAUGAUGUGAGGUUUUUCAAGCCUUCCGACUCUACUAAGUUCCAAGGAGUUAUUGCAAUUGAUUUAUUUUGCAAUAAGGUAGCAACCGUAGGCGAAGCUGCAAUAUCGUUGAAUAUUUUGCGGAUCCAUCUAACGAACAUCAUGAGAGCCUCCAAAUGGUGCUGAGCAGUUUAGCGCUAAUUUUCUAUAGCCUAGUUUUAUUCCUGUUAACAUUACCAUUUUUUAGAGUGAUUUGUACAAAGUUGUUUGCAUUGUUUUCACGUUGUGAUGAUUCUACUUUUUCAAUUUUAUUUUAUCUCCUCAAAUUUAUAUGACUUGCUGUUUUUAACAUACAAUUAUAAUUCCUCAAUUUGAUACCUACUUUGUUGGAAUUAUUUCGCAAAUUUGUCAAUUGUAAUAUUGUAAGUUGUAAAAUAUGUAAUAAAAGAUUAUAUUUGUCUAUA